CCUACGGGAGGCAGCAGUAGGGAAUUUUCCGCAAUGGGCGAAAGCCUGACGGAGCAAUACCGCGUGAGGGAUGACGGCCUGUGGGUUGUAAACCUCUUUUCUCAAGGAAGAAGUUCUGACGGUACUUGAGGAAUAAGCAUCGGCUAGCUCUGUGCCAGCAGCCGCGGUAAUACGGAGGAUGCAAGCGUUAUCCGGAAUCACUGGGCAUAAAGCGUCUGUAGGUUGUUUAGUAAGUCUGCUGUUAAAGACUGGGGCUUAACCCCAGAAAAGCAGUGGAAACUGCUAGACUCGAGUGUGGUAGAGGUAGAGGGAAUUCCUAGUGUAGCGGUGAAAUGCGUAGAUAUUAGGAAGAACACCAAUGGCGAAGGCACUCUACUGGGCCAUAACUGACACUGAGAGACGACAGCUAGGGGAGCAAACGGGAUUAGAUACCCCGGUAGUCCUAGCCGUAAACGAUGGAUACUAGAUGUUGCACGUAUUAACCCGUGCAGUAUCGUAGCUAAGGCGUUAAGUAUCCCGCCUGGGAAGUACGCUCGCAAGAGUGAAACUUAAANGAAUUGACGG
rnacentral:rRNA from 1 species